rnacentral:rRNA from 1 species
UACGGAGGGGACUAGCGUUGUUCGGAAUUACUGGGCGUAAAGCGCACGUAGGCGGAUUUGUAAGUCAGGGGUGAAAUCCCGGGGCUCAACCUCGGAACUGCCUUUGAUACUGCAAAUCUCGAGUCCGGAAGAGGUGAGUGGAAUUCCUAGUGUAGAGGUGAAAUUCGUAGAUAUCUGGAGGAACACCGGUGGCGAAGGCGGCAUCCUGGACCGGCAUUGACGCUGAGGCGCGAAAGCCAGGGGAGCAAACGGG